GGACCCGCACAAGCGGUGGAGCAUGUGGUUUAAUUCGAAGCAACGCGAAGAACCUUACCUAGUCUUGACAUCCCUCUGACCGGUCUGUAAUGAGACCUUUUCUUCGGAACAGAGGAGACAGGUGGUGCAUGGUUGUCGUCAGCUCGUGUCGUGAGAUGUUGGGUUAAGUCCCGCAACGAGCGCAACCCUUACCUUUAGUAGCCAGCAUUUUGGAUGGGCACUCUAGAGGGACUGCCGGGGAUAACCCGGAGGAAGGUGGGGAUGACGUCAAAUCAUCAUGCCCCUUAUGACUAGGGCUACACACGUGCUACAAUGGCGUAAACAAAGGGAAGCGACCCUGUGAAGGUGAGCAAAUCUCAAAAAUAACGUCUCAGUUCGGAUUGUAGUCUGCAACUCGACUACAUGAAGCUGGAAUCGCUAGUAAUCGCAGAUCAGAAUGCUGCGGUGAAUACGUUCCCGGGUCUU
rnacentral:rRNA from 1 species